rnacentral:rRNA from 1 species
AACUUUCAACAACGGAUCUCUUGGCUCUCGCAUCGAUGAAGAACGCAGCGAAAUGCGAUAAGUAAUGUGAAUUGCAGAAUUCAGUGAAUCAUCGAAUCUUUGAACGCACCUUGCGCCCUUUGGCAUUCCGAAGGGCACGCCUGUUUGAGUGUC